GUAACUUCAUCGCUCACAACUUUGUAUGGAGUGAGAGAACGGAGAAGUGGUCGUAGUGAAGUUGUAAACAGUGGUAGGGAAUGAUUCGAUUUCAGAUUUUGAAGAAGUUUGUCAUACCCACUUCUUUAGGUGCGGCUGUAAUAAAGUCUGAAAGUGGCAAAGACAGUACAGAAGCUAAACCAUGUCGUCCGAGCGAACUGCCACUUUAUGAGGAUGACAGCUGUGGAUGCAGGCCGAAGAGAAAGGGCGGUGCACAUUUAGGAGCUCUAGAACAGCAAACUUCAAGUGCUUUGGAAGAACAAAUACGUGUGAUCCGGAAGGAGCUGUGGGUCUGGCACGAUCAGUACAAAGGAUAUAGAGACAAACUAGUGGAAAAAAUUGAGGUUGCGAAAGCUCAUAGUGAAUCGACUUUGGCAUUUCUGAAGGAGGAGGGGAACUAUUUGCCACGCAUUGGUGCCAUCAGUUUAGGAGGCCUUACGGGUGUCAUAUUUGGCCUGCGAGGUGGUUGGUUCCGGAGGCUGACAUAUGGUGCUGCUGGGUCGUUGGCAAUGUCUGCUUUGUGCUACCCUCGGCAAGCGUCAGAAGUGUCGCAAGAAGCCCUAACCUAUGCAAAGAAAUAUGUUGCCGUUACGUAUAAUUUUAUUUAUGGAGGUCACGUGCCAUCACUGAUUGCCUCUUGACAGGAUUUCUGUGAAUGAGUGAUGGAUGUCCAAGCCUCUGAUGAUCUUCAGCAGGCCCAGUUUUACUGUACCUCUUGAUCGUCAGUUAAACCAGAAAAUACACAAUCAUCAAAUCCCAUGGCCGGUGACUUGAAGCAUUCUUCAGAUGCCCCACCAGUAACAGCUCAGAAAGAUACUCAG
rnacentral:misc_RNA from 1 species